rnacentral:rRNA from 1 species
AACGAACGCUGGCGGCGUGCCUAACACAUGCAAGUCGAACGUGAUUGAGAGCUUGCUCUCAUGAAAGUGGCGCACGGGUGAGUAACGCGUAGAUAAUCUACCUGAUGAUCCGGAAUAACAGUUCGAAAGGACUGCUAAUACCGGAUAAGCUCACGGAGUCCUAGGACUCUGUGGGAAAAGGGGGGGACCUUACGGCCUUCUGUCAUCAGAUGAGUCUGCGUACCAUUAGCUAGUUGGCGGGGUAAAGGCCUACCAAGGCGACGAUGGUUAGCUGGCCUGAGAGGAUGAUCGGCCACCAUGGAACUGAAACACGGCCCAGACCCCUCCGGGAGGGAGCAGUGGGGAAUUUUUCGCAGUGGGCGAAAGCCUGACGCAGCAACGCCGCAUGGGUGAUGAAGGCCCUUGGGUCGUAAAGCUCUGACAGAGGGAAAGAAAUGUAGGAUGGCUAUAUCCAACUUACUUGACGGUACCCUCAAAGGAAGCACCGGCUAACUCCGUGCCAGCAGCCGCGGUAAUAC